ACUGCACCUGGAGAACACACGGAGGGAAGACCGUGUAGCUUGGCCAGUGAGCUAAGACUUUAAUGCGAGAGUGUGUGUUGUGCUGUGGCCUGGAAACCUGCUUACACCUGCCCUCCAGACUCUGGGCUCCUUGUGGAUGGUCCAACUUGAGAACAAGACUCUACAAACACCACCUCCCACGACGAAAGCCUGUGUCGACCAGAUGUCUCUGCUCCCCCUUCUCUGUGUUCUUGACAUCCCCACGGGCUCAGCGUCUGCAGAUUUGCUGUCUGGCCGGUACCCCCAGCAGGUGGAGGAUGGGGGUGUGCUGUCGGUCUGCAGCUCCCCUUUGAAUGCAGUUGGGGAGGACUAAUUGGGAAGGCCUUCGUGAACAUCUAAGAAUCCCGCACGAGCGCUUGUUAACUGGAGGGACAUGUGAUAGUUGAUCAGUCCCGUGUGCUGGGUUUUGCCCUUUUAGGCUGGGGAAUACCCAGAGGCCCCCACAUGCUUGCCCUUCCCUCUUUCUCCCGGUGACUUAUUUCCACUCCUUACUGUCCCCCGCUGCCUUUCCCUCCAGGUGACUAUCCACUAUGUUCUGUGGCAGAGUUCCCCUGUGCAUGAUAAAUAGUCCUCAUUUUCUUUUCGAGAGUCCCAUAGCCAAUAAAAAGCAAUAAAAAGCGAAAUGACACACAA